GCAUCAUCAUCCAUCACCGCCAUCUCACUCAAAGUAUCAUCCAUCUCAUGUGUGUUCUUUCUUGUUCCUUUUCUUGUUUCGUUUCUCUUUCCUUUCAUGAAUUCUUUUGCUAACUCUAAACUUUUUUUUAUUUAUUUAUCAUGAUAUUUACAAGAAGAAGGAAGUAUAUUAGCUUAUGUUAAUGAUUUUCCAUCAAAGGAAAUUUUAUCCAAAUUUCCAUCUCAGUUUUUUUUAUCCAUCUUCAACCUCUGUAUCUCAUUCUCUUUUUGGGUUUGUUAUCAGUUUCUAUUUUUCAAGUUUGGGGUUUUCAAUUUUCAUGUUACUAUUCAACUAAUUAUUUUCUUAAUUUUCCUGUUUGCAUUUUUCAGAUAUGCGAUAAAACAACAUACUUAGGAAAGUAGAUCUACAUUUUUAUUUUUAUUUUUAUUUUAGUGAAUUGUGGUUCUAUUGUUAGUAUAUUUUUUUUCUUUACUGGAAAUAUCUGUCUACCUGUGUCUCAUUAGUCUAUUUAUUUGCUUUAGUUAUUUGUUCAAUGUCAUCCUUAACCCAUUUUUAAAAUAAAAGUAGUUCAAGAUGUUGUUGCUUUAGUUAUUUGGUUUCUAAUUUCAUAAAUAU
rnacentral:lncRNA from 1 species